AAUUCUCCUCCCUCAACCUCCCGAGUAGCUGGGAUUACAGGAUUUAGCACACAAAUGUCCAUAGAGCAUUUGCAAACAAGCAAUGAGAGCAGAGGUAUCCGGUGUAUCCCAACCACCCUCCUGCGGAUCCCCACGCCUCCCCUGCGCAUCCCAUGCGGGCAGCAGCACACAGGAGACCACAGGCUAAGCCUGAACCACAGGCAGACUCACCAGGCACGCCCCAUGGCCUGUGCUCAUGCCCUCAGGUGGUGACGAAAGGACCUGGGGCCGCCCAGGAGGACUGGACGCUGAGGAGCAGUGGGCGUCCAGUGUAAGAGACUUGUGCACGCGGGGACAGCAGGAGAGGUGGGCUGGCCAGGAUCAGGAGGCAGCUGCCUCAGCAGAGAGGAAGAGGGUCAGCAGAAGAUCUCUUCACCCUCUGCUGAUACUUCUGACGCGGGACCAUCUGGAAAUGUGAAAACCAAGAAUGAAAAAAAUUCAGAAAAACUGCUCCUUUCAUUGAACUUCCUCCCCAUCCCAAAGUCUUCUGUAAUGCAAACAGGCGACUGGGGCUUAUGGGCAAUUAACUCUUCUGCGCACCGGGGUUUCUGAACAAAUUUGGUUAAUAAGGUUCUUAAGUGAUAUCCUUCACUGCCUAAUGCUCCCUUUAACUUUUAAAUAAUCACUAGAAUUUAUGAAGAGGCCAGGAAAAUGUACUUUUUCUUUAACCUCCCACACAGAAAGGAGAGAUCAAUCCUAAAGAGAAGGAUUCAGGGGAAAAAGUGGUACAUGAACAGGGAGGCAUUUAGUGGAAUUCAGCCGCAGGCUCUGUGGCCGCUGGCACAUUAGUUAGCCUCUGUGAGCCUCAGUUUCCUCACUUCUCUUGGGGUUAGCAGUGCCAACUUCAUACAGUCAUUUGAGGGUUAAAUCACCAAAUGCUAGCUGUUACCAAUGACUACUCUAGGCCCAGAAAGGCAAGGAGGACUUGAAUUACUUCAUUGAGGGGUGAGCUCCAGUUCCUCGAUCGGAUAAUGCCUUGAAAAUGAAACCCAUGCUCUCUGCUUCUGCACACGUGCCACACAGAGUGGGUUCUUAAUGUUCGCUGCAUGAGUGCUCUUAGCAAGCGGAGCUGGUGAAAAGGAUGGCAGUUUGGCUUUUGAGCAUCUGAACUGUCCCCUUUUCAACCCCGCCCCAUGCCACUAAAAUCUACCCUCUCUCAGAAUGCACAGACACUAUGGCCACAGGGAGAGCAGGUGUGCGUGACUCACCACCGGGCUGAGAGCGGCUGGUUUUGUUCUUCUUUUUUUUCUCCUUCUUUUCCUUUGGCUUUGUUAACCCAAACAGGCGGGUAGAGGCAGAGGUGGACGCAGGGGCCUGGCUCUGCCCUUCUGGUCCUUUGUUUGUCUGGCUGGUUGAACUCAGUAUGUGAAAAGGCCCCUUAUCUUUGUGUGUCCGAGAGAUGCUGUUCCUUUUUGGGGACACUGAAAGUUCUGAGUCCAAUGACCCUGAUUUGGCUAUGGAAGGUGCAGAUGGCGAGGGGGGCUCCUCAGGACUGGGGAAGAACGAUGGGAUCCUCAUCAGCUUGGUAUGUGGAUGGGAAACCUGUACAUAUUCAAGAGAAGGGUUUUCACUUGGAGGCUGUCAGCGUCCGUGAUGCCAACUCAAUAAAUCCUGGCUGAAUUCA
rnacentral:lncRNA from 1 species